rnacentral:rRNA from 1 species
GUCCGCAACGAGCGCAACCCUUGUCUAUUAGUUGCUAACAGGUAGAGCUGAGCACUCUAAUGGGACUGCCGGUGACAAGCCGGAGGAAGGUGGGAUGACGUCAAAUCAUCAUGCCCUUUAUGACCUGGGCUACACACGUGCUACAAUGGAUGGUACAGAGAGCAGCGAGGCAGCGAUGUGGAGCGAAUCUCAAAAAGCCACUCUCAGUUCGGAUUGGAGUCUGCAACUCGACUCCAUGAAGUCGGAAUCGCUAGUAAUCGCGAAUCAGCAUGUCGCCGGUGAACUGCGUUCCGGGCCUU